rnacentral:rRNA from 1 species
UUGAACGCUGGCGGCAUGCCUUACACAUGCAAGUCGAACGGCAGCACGGGAGCAAUCCUGGUGGCGAGUGGCGAACGGGUGAGUAAUAUAUCGGAACGUGCCCAGUCGUGGGGGAUAACGUAGCGAAAGCUACGCUAAUACCGCAUACGAUCUAUGGAUGAAAGCGGGGGAUCGCAAGACCUCGCGCGAUUGGAGCGGCCGAUAUCAGAUUAGGUAGUUGGUGAGGUAAAGGCUCACCAAGCCGACGAUCUGUAGCUGGUCUGAGAGGACGACCAGCCACACUGGGACUGAGACACGGCCCAGACUCCUACGGGAGGCAGCAGUGGGAAUUUUGGACAAUGGGCGCAAGCCUGAUCCAGCAAUGCCGCGUGCAGGAUGAAGGCCUUCGGGUUGUAAACUGCUUUGUACGGAACGAAACGGUGAGCNCUAAUACAGUUUGCUAAUGACGGUACCGUAAGAAUAAGCACCGGCUAACUACGUG